UGGAGCCGCUGUUGGGAUACCACCCUUGCAGUAUUGGGUUUCUAACCAGCCGCCGUGAUCCGGCGGUGGGACAAUGUCAGGCGGGGAGUUUGACUGGGGCGGUCGCCUCCGAAAGGGUAUCGGAGGCGCUCAAAGGUUCCCUCAGAAUGGUUGGAAACCAUUCGAAGAGUGUAAAGGCAGAAGGGAGCUUGACUGUGACACCGACGGGUGGAGCAGGUACGAAAGUAGGACUUAGUGAUCCGGUGGUAUUAAGUGGGAAUGCCAUCGCUCAACGGAUAAAAGCUACCCUGGGGAUAACAGGCUUAUCACUCCCAAGAGUUCACAUCGACGGAGUGGUUUGGCACCUCGAUGUCGGCUCAUCGCAUCCUGGGGCUGUAGUAGGUCCCAAGGGUUGGGCUGUUCGCCCAUUAAAGCGGUACGCGAGCUGGGUUCAGAACGUCGUGAGACAGUUCGGUCCCUAUCCGGCGUGGGCGCAGGAUAUUUGAGAGGAGCUGUCCUUAGUACGAGAGGACCGGGAUGGACUGACCGCUGGUGUACCGGCUGCAUCACCAGAUGCACCGCCGGGUAGCCAAGUCGGGACGGGAUAAACGCUGAAGGCAUCUAAGCGUGAAGCCCCCCUCAAGAUGAGAUAUCCCAUUCGAAAGAAGUAAGACCCCUUGAAGACGACAAGGUAGAUAGGGCAGAGGUGGAAGCACGGUAACGUGUGGAGCUGACUGUUACUAAUAGGUCGAGGGCUUGACCAAAA
rnacentral:rRNA from 1 species